ACCUCCCCAAGGCUCCCUCUUCAAACACCAUCACGUUGGGCGUUAGAGCUUCAACAUACGAAUUUGGGGGGAGGGGGUCGCAAACAUUCAGUCUCCAGUACCUGCUGAGUUGGCAGGCGACUCUGAUGUGCCCCGCGGAUGAGAGCCGCUGGCCAUUCUGUGUGGACAGGCACAGCGAUCAGAUCUUUCCAGCUGUGUCCACCCACGUCCUUGGUCUGAGGAGCGUUCUGUAGACAGGAGAGAAUGUCAACAUGUUUGCAGAGUGCUCUGAACUGCCGGGCACCCCAGACGCUGUUUCAGCAUUUCCCAGAAUAGCAGGCCUUGAAAUCAGUGUCCCAACCAAGUCGACGGCUGCCUGUGGCUCGUUGUUGCUGAAAGAGAGGCCAUCUGUCACAUUCCUGUGCAUCACUAAUCUCUGCAGGGAGCAGGGGGCUUGGUUUGACUCAAAAAGAUGGAGCUGCAGAAGGAGAGAUUGAAGUUAGAUGUCUUGAAGAACUUCCAGGCUGUUAGGAAUCUUCCUAAUUUUUUUUUUUGAGUAUCAAGAAGAGGUUGAUAGAGGGCAAUUGGCCCUGGAAGCAGGGGUCAUACAAACGGCUCCUUUUAAUCUUCUGCAGCAGCUGGACUUGGCCUUCAGCGCGCUACCCUCACAGAUAUUCGUGACCUGUCGUAGCCGGGACACAAACAGAGCCAUCAUCAAAUAUCACUUUGCUCCCUGUCUUAGCAGGGAGGAAAAAAAUAAAACAAACAAGCGGAGGAAAGAGCUUUCAUGUUUUUCUAAUAGAACGAGGUGUCAAUUAAAAAGUGCCCCCCAGGGGCCUCUGCUGUGGAGCUCUAUCUGCACACGCACACUUCUGUGGUUCAGUCUUGCUCCUGCCUCUCCGUUUCUCCCCAAAUCUGCUUUUCCGUAACCUGCAGGAGCAUCAGCUUGUUCUGCUGUCAUACUGGGGACGGCCGUGACAUUUCCGCCGAAGCCAGGGGGCAGGCAGGCCCCUCUGAGCAAACCCAAACCCUCAGGCUUCCCCAGGAGAAGGCAGACUCCCCCCGGCCCCUGGUCCUGCUCUGGGCCGGGGUCCGGCCGUGGCUCCUGCCUCCCCAACCUGUUGGCAGCGCUAAUUGCCUGGCACCCUGGCAGCUCAGCCUCCCGACUAAUGAUUCAUCCUUGCACGGCCAUUUGUUUGUGCUGGUUUCAGACAGACUAAUGCUUUUAAUGGCACAUAAUCAUUUUUCAGAAGUCAUUUGAUGCCACUAAUCAUCUCGGUAAUACGCCGCAAUGGAACGCAUAAUGACAUUCGGAACAGGACAAAUGGCAGCGCGAUUCCUGGCUUUUCCCCUCUAAUCUAUAUUUUACCACGUGCCUGGCUGCUAAUGACUGAGUGCUGUUAAUAAACAACUGCCUUAAGGA